rnacentral:misc_RNA from 1 species
GCUAUAGGAUAUCCACCAUCACAAAAACUCCAAAUACUUCUUCUCAAGAACAAACCCAACAAGUUCAAUCAUUAUGCAAGCAAGUCAAUUAUCUCGAUCUAACCUACAUAAUCGCUUAGUCACAGGGAGAAAAUCCAGGCAGUAGAUGAAAUCAAGGUUCUAUCUCACAUACUCACUCACCAAGAUAACAAUAAAGAGAAAAUAAGAGGAAGGGGAGGUCUAGGGUUUGCAUUGGAGUUCAUAGUGAGCGG